ACAAGUACACUUGUCCGCGUACUCUAGUACGUGGCCACAUUAAGUGGCCCCAAUUAAUUCAUUUUCGUUUCAAUCUUCACCUUUCCUACUUCUUCAGCUUGACUGCAAAUCUCCAAGCAUCAAACCUGGGCCUGAACAGACUUAGCUUCAAGAUUGAGCAUCAGGUUGCCACCAUCACUAUGUGGUAGCUUCUCAAAACGUUGAAGGCCUAAAGGAUAUUACGGAGUAGCACAAACAAGCAAGAGAGUCACUGCCCAAAUUGAACAGAUCAGGAGCAAAAAGGAAAGAGUUCCUGUUUUUGUUUCGCACAUGAUUUGAUUCUGCCUAAUAAUUCCAGGAUUCCACCCUUCUUGGAAAAAGUCCCAUUGUCUUUUCCUUUCCAAAUUAAACUUGCACUUCAAUAUUACAAGAUUCUAUAACAUCUGCUAUUUUUUUCAGCAUUUUUUGGCAUUUAAAUCAGCUACUUAAAAAGUUAAUAGUCCUUGCUUACACUUAACAGAAUUCAACAAACAAUUUUAACGUAUCUAUGGCCUAUACUGAAGAAAUUACCUCUGCACCAUAUACCAAAACGGCCCACAUAGCCAAUGGUUGCCUUAUGGUUUUCUUCGGGUUCGUGGUUUUUUUAUGCGUGCUCAAAUGCUGCUGCUCUAAACGGGAAGAAUUUUCAUCAGAUUUACAAAGGCAAAGCACAGAAAAGCGACCUGAACAGCCAUCAACUACACCAGCUGAUCAACAAGAUCAUAGUAUGGUUGUGAUCAUGCCUGGGGACCGAACUCCGACCUGCUUAGCAAUGCCUGUCAUGUCUUCACCUCAGCACACUGAUGAAGUGUGACUAAUUUUUAGAUCUUACUUUAUCGGUCCCCAGCCAGAAUAAAGGAGGAGGACUGUAGUAGGUUGAUAUGUAGUGCAAAACUAGUCAAAUUAUCAUGAGUCCUGACUAUACAGAAUAGAGAGGGACAUGUAUAGUGAGGAUUCAUAUAUAUAUAUAUAUAUAUAUAUAUAUGUCCGACUCUAACUAGCUUGGGAUUGAGAUAUUGUUGUUGUCAUUAUUAUAUUGUUCUUGUUCCACUCAAGAAGACUAAGCUAGGCUUUUCUAA